rnacentral:lncRNA from 1 species
GAUGCUUCCUUACCCUCCCUCACUGAACAGCCCAGCGAGCGCAAGCAGAGAUGAGCAUUAGCUGAUAAGCAUAAUGGAGCCUGCUUGAAAAUGCUGUCAUCUCUCUUUAGAAGCUGACAGCUGAACUGUUAAGCUAAGAGUUUCCUGCCCUGUGACUCAGAGGUGGUGCACCGUGAGAGUUGCUGGUCAAUUCACCCAGGACAGACAUUGCCUGACCCGGAGCCUGGGCAACAGAGGAGAAAAGGGGCACAAGCUGCACAGCCUACAGCCAAUGCGAUAUGGACACAGUUGUUUUUCAAGCACAGCAUUGGUUGAAACUAGCAGUCCUUACAACUAGGAUGGGGUAAGUCUUACAAGGAGGACUUUGAAAUUCAUAAUUACAACUUGUAGGGCAGCAGAGGAUAGACUGUGAUGUACUCUGGAGUCAUUACUGUCUUG